rnacentral:rRNA from 1 species
UACAGAGGUCCCAAGCGUUGUUCGGAUUCACUGGGCGUAAAGGGUGCGUAGGUGGUGAGGUAAGUCGGAUGUGAAAUCUCCGAGCUCAACUCGGAAACUGCAUUGGAAACUACCUUGCUCGAGGGUUGGAGGGGGGACUGGAAUGCUUGGUGUAGCAGUGAAAUGCGUAGAUAUCAAGCGGAACACCAGUGGCGAAGGCGAGUCCCUGGACAACUCCUGACACUGAGGCACGAAAGCUAGGGGAGCAAACAGG